ensembl:snoRNA SNORD83 Small nucleolar RNA SNORD83
GCCACAUGAUGAUUUGAGUGUGUCAGUAGCUCUCUGAGCUGUGAUGACCUGUUCAUCUAUCACCCUUGUCUGAUGGCU